CAUAACCAUUAUUGUUAUAACGUUCUCUAUACUUUCGGGAGGUAAAUUCGUCACAUUAAAUCAAUUCUCAAACGAGGAACUAAAUAUUUAAGUUUCGUCAAUUGAAAAGCGGGAAGCCCACGCAACAUAUCUUAUAUCAUCGACCAAACAUAGCUUUUUUUCAUAUACAAUUAUCUUCACUAAUUCGUAAUGUGUUAAGACAAACCAAUAUUCUAGCCUUAUAAAAUAACUUUAGAAGCCAUUAGAACGACCGAAAGUUGCCAAUUUAUUCAUGCAUUUGUUACUUUCGCUUCUGACAACAACGAUGCUGAAACGCCUUCUUCAACGAGUUGCUUGAUGCCUUUUUCUUGCCUAAACUUUGUUGAUAUAGCUAAAGAAAGCCUUUUACUGAUAAGUAUUAAAAGUCAAAUAGAAAAACUUACAUACUACUGUUCUUCUUUGACACACAGACACACACGAUGUAAAA